GACGAACGCUGGCGGCGUGCUUAACACAUGCAAGUCGAACGCUGAAGCUCAGCUUUUGUUGGGUGGAUGAGUGGCGAACGGGUGAGUAACACGUGAGUAACCUGCCUCCUCCUUUGGGAUAACGCCCGGAAACGGGUGCUAAUACUGGAUAUUCACUGGUCUUCGCAUGGGGGUUGGUGGAAGGGGUUUUUCUGGUGGGGGAUGGGCUCGCGGCCUAUCAGCUUGUUGGUGGGGUGAUGGCCUACCAAGGCUUUGACGGGUAGCCGGCCUGAGAGGGUGACCGGUCACAUUGGGACUGAGAUACGGCCCAGACUCCUACGGGAGGCAGAAGUGGGGAAUAUUGCACAAUGGGCGCAAGCCUGAUGCAGCGACGCCGCGUGAGGGAUGGAGGCCUUCGGGUUGUGAACCUCUUUCGCUCAUGGUCAAGCCGCAACAAUGGUUGUGGUGAGGGUAGUGGGUAAAGAAGCGCCGGCUAACUACGUG
rnacentral:rRNA from 1 species